GAAAGAAACAAGGAAACAUGCAUUCAUAGGGGCCAGCCAGGAGAAUGACAGGUUGGGUGGAGAGGUGGUAAGACAGGCUGCAAGCAGCCUGGGGCUCUGGGGUUCAGCAGCCCUAGGUGACAUUGGCCUAGUCACUUUCCCUCCUGAGCCCCAGUUUUCUCAAGUGUAGAAUGGAAAUGCUAACACCUCUCUUGUAGGAUUAUGGAGAAGAACAAAUGAGCCAGCCUGGAGCACAGAGUCCGGCCCAUGGACAUGCAAUAAUCAGCCAGAAUGCUGGUUUCAGGAGCCUUCAUGCAAGCACUAAAUCCACCUAAUUGCUUUGAAAAGCAUGGGGUAGAUAAAUAUCCCAUCAGCCCACCGCUGUAAUAACACCAGUGACAUUUAUGCCUGAGAUGAAGAAUGCAGGAUGAACGGUGAUCAGACCCCAGGGCCGACGGGAAGGAAGAGACCCAAUCUAGCAGGAGAGAGCUGUGCACAGCAGUCCACCUUCAGAGGAGCAGUAACCUUCUGUCCAGGGACACAGGCAGCCCAAGGUAACCUCCCAGGAAGGGAGCCCCAUGGCUCCUCUGUCUCUCGAAACUUCUCUUAUGCUCCACAUUAGCUGACAUGAUCAGAAGCUCAAGGGCAAUGGGCUCGUUGAUUCGGUCCACAGCCCUGCCUUUCUCACCACCACCUGGACCCCCGAGAUAUUCUUUCCCCUUCCUCUUUGCGUGGCCAACUCUUAGCUGACCUGAUGAAAUCAUGACCUACUGAAACAUUCAGAAAGAUGUAGAGAAUAAAAAUCAGACACUCGUGUACCCA
rnacentral:lncRNA from 1 species